CUUGGGCAUGGAAAUGAAGUUAGUCAUUGGGUCCCCAAAAGAGUAAAUGGACCCUUAGAGGGCAUACACGUUUCAUAUAUCUCGUGUGGUCCCUGGCAUACUGCUGUGGUGACAUCUGCUGGUCAACUAUUUACUUUUGGCGAUGGUACUUUUGGUGUUCUUGGACAUGGAGACAGAAAAAGUGUCUCUAAACCUAGGGAAGUGGAGUCUUUAAAGGGGCUUCG
rnacentral:misc_RNA from 1 species